rnacentral:rRNA from 1 species
GCGAGGUGGAGCGAAUCUCCAAAAAUUAGUCCCAGUUCAGAUUGCAGGCUGCAACUCGCCUGCAUGAAGUCGGAAUUGCUAGUAAUCGUGGAUCAGCAUGCCACGGUGAAUACGUUCCCGGGCCUUGUACACACCGCCCGUCACACCAUGGGAGUCGGUAACACCCGAAGCCUGUAGUCUAACCGCAAGGAGGACGCAGUCGAAGGUGGGAUUGAUGACUGGGGUGAAGUCGUAACAAGGUAAC